CACCGGCGGCCCGAGUGGUGAUCGUGAUUAUUGGGUCUAAAGGGUCCGUAGCCGGUUUGGUCAGUCCUCCGGGAAAUCUGAUAGCUCAACUAUUAGGCUUUCGGGGGAUACUGCCAGACUUGGAACCGGGAGAGGUAAGAGGUACUACAGGGGUAGGAGUGAAAUCUUGUAAUCCCUGUGGGACCACCUGUGGCGAAGGCGUCUUACCAGAACGGGUUCGACGGUGAGGGACGAAAGCUGGGGGCACGAACCGGAUUAGAUACCCGCGUAGUCCC
rnacentral:rRNA from 1 species